rnacentral:lncRNA from 1 species
AAAUUGCACCUAUUAAAAAACAGGUAUUUAUACAUCUGCAUCUUGGGAGAUGCUCUCAAAGUGUCCAAAAAUGAUGCGCAUCUUUGAUCAAAGCUCCAUUUUGCUCAACACUAGCCUGAACCAACGUUGAAUUUGGUCAUGUCAACAUUAGAUACUUAAGCUUAAAGUGAAAACUAGGCUUGCAUGGAACCGUCAGCCGGAACACGUACUGUGGUGAGUGUUGCCAGUACAUGAUGUGGGACAUUUGUGAACAGCAAAACCGCCACGUUUGUUCAUCAUGUCCCUCGGCCUCAGUGGCCCAGGUCACAGGCCAACGUCGUUAAACCCACAGAUCCUAUAUUUCUUACCCAUUUAUUACAGCAGCGAUUAUACAGCUAGUAUCAAAGAAACAACAUUUCCUCGUUCCACAAUUUGUAACACCUUUAUCCUGACCCAGUACGAUAAAGGGAUACUACAAGCGACUACAAGCUGAAGAACUGUGUGUAGUGUCUCACUAAGAAGCUUUCCAGAUUAGCAAACAAAUACAAAUUAUUCAUAACACGUUAAUCGGAGAGUUCCAUGAAUGGCGGGUCACUA